ACUGCUCAGUAACACGUGGACAACCUACCCUCAGAUCUGGGAUAACUCCGGGAAACUGGAGAUAAUACCGGAUAAUCCGUGAACGCUGGAAUGCCUUACGGUUCAAAGCUUUAGCGUCUGAGGAUGGGUCUGCGGCCGAUUAGGUAGUUGCUGGGGUAACGUCCCAACAAGCCGAUAAUCGGUACGGGUUGUGAGAGCAAGAGCCCGGAGAUGGAUUCUGAGACACGAAUCCAGGUCCUACGGGGCGCAGCAGGCGCGAAAACUUUACACUGCGCGAAAGCGCGAUAAGGGGACCUCGAGUGCGUGCGCAAUGCGUACGCUUUUCACAUGCCUAAAAAGCAUGUGGAAUAAGAGCCGGGCAAGACCGGUGCCAGCCGCCGCGGUAACACCGGCGGCUCAAGUGGUGGCCGCUAUUAUUGGGCUUAAAGGGUCCGUAGCCGGACCAGUUAGUCCAUUGGGAAAUCUUACGGCUUAACCGUAAGGCUGCCAGUGGAUACUGCUGGUCUUGGGACCGGGAGAGGCAAGAGGUACUUCAGGGGUAGGAGUGAAAUCCUGUAAUCCUUGAGGGACCGCCAGUGGCGAAGGCGUCUUGCUAGAACGGGUCCGACGGUGAGGGACGAAAGCUAGGGGCACGAACCGGAUUAGAUACCCGGGUAGUCCUAGCCGUAAACGAUGCGAGCUAGGUGUCACGUGGAUUGCGAAUCCAUGUGGUGCCUGUAGGGAAACCGUGAAGCUCGCCGCCUGGGAAGUACGGCCGCAAGGCUGAAACUUAAAGGAAUUGGCGGGGGAGCAC
rnacentral:rRNA from 1 species